AUUGAACGCUGGCGGACAUGCCUUACACAUGCAAGUACGAACGGCAGCACGGGAGCAAUCCUGGUGGCGAGUGGCGAACGGGUGAGUAAUAUAUCGGAACGUGCCCAGUCGUGGGGAUAACGUAGCGAAAGCUACGCUAAUACCGCAUACGAUCUAUGGAUGAAAGCGGGGGAUCGCAAGACCUCGCGCGAUUGGAGCGGCCGAUAUCAGAUUAGGUAGUUGGUGAGGUAAAGGCUCGCCAAGCCGACGA
rnacentral:rRNA from 1 species